rnacentral:tRNA from 1 species
GGGAGUAGUUCGUAGUCUGGUGACGCGCCCGGUCUUCAAAACCGGUGAGGGGCGUAUCCCGUCCCUGGUGGGUUCGAUUCCCAUCUGCUCCCGCCA